rnacentral:rRNA from 1 species
AAUCAACGCUGGCGGCGUGCCUAACACAUGCAAGUCGAACGCGAAAGCCCCGCAAGGGGUAAGUAGAGUGGCAAACGGGUGAGUAACACGUGGGUGACCUGCCUUAGAGUGGGGGAUAACGUCCCGAAAGGGACGCUAAUACCGCAUAACAUCCUGCCUUUGAAGAGGUGGAGAUCAAAGCCGGGGACCGCAAGGCCUGGCGCUCAAAGAGGGGCCCGCGCCUGAUUAGCUAGUUGGUGGGGUAAUGGCUCACCAAGGCAACGAUCAGUAUCCGGCCUGAGAGGGCGGACGGACACACUGGGACUGAGACACGGCCCAGACUCCUACGGGAGGCAGCAGUUAGGAAUUUUGGGCAAUGGCCGCAAGGCUGACCCAGCAACGCCGCGUGGGGAUGAAGGCUCUCGGGUUGUAAACCCCUUUUCUCGGGGACGAUGAUGACGGUACCCGAGGAAGAAGCCCCGGCUAACUACGUGCCAGCAGCCGCCGU